GUCUUUUAUUCUUGUUUGAUUAGUAUGAUGCAAUGUAUGCAAACUUUCUGGUUCCCUUUCCUAUGAUGCAUGGUAGUUGAGCAUCUUAAAAUUUUUCUCUGAAGUCCCACCCUUUUUUAUCCAAAGUAUUGUAAAAGGCCCUCCCACUUUGUCUUUGGAAUAUAACACAAUUUCUCUUGAUGGUUAUUUGACUUUUAUGUUCUUUUAGGAUCCUCCCUCCUCUUUUUGUCCAUUUAUUUGUAUGUUCUUUUUCAUCUUCAUGUUCAAGCUUAUAGAGUUGGUUGAAAAAACAAAAGAAAAUUUCCACUUUGAUUUGCCUAACCUUUGUUUGUUACUUAUAUCCUGAACUUCUUGCUGUUUCUAUGUAUAUGCUGGUUUCCAAACAUCCUAGGAAAUGUGUGAUGCUUUUAGGUCAUGUUGUACU
rnacentral:misc_RNA from 1 species